CUCACCGAUGUCAUCAACCUUGUUGGUGUUGUCCUGAGGCGGUGGGGGAGGCAGCAUGGAGAUUUUGGGAGCACGGACUUUAAGAGAAAGCAAAAGUAAGCUUUAGGGAAUGCUAACAGUAUUUCAUACCCAGAACAGUGCUGCUGCCUGACCAUCCCCACUCACCCUGCCUCCUGCUGAAGAAAUGAAUGGUGUGUGUGUGCAGACCAAUGGGAAUACUGGCUUUGUUUCUGCAUGCAGUGUGUGACUGAUGCUUGGUACCCUCUGCCUUCCUCCAAACAGAGGAGGAAGGUAAACAGAGAAGAAACAGUGUACUGAUGUGACCCAGGCAACCCCUGUUGCUACACAAAUGCUGAGUUUGUAUGGCAAUAAAAAUAAUUUUAACUCA